CUACGGGGGGCUGCAGUGAGGAAUAUUGCACAAUGGGGGGAACCCUGAUGCAGCAACGCCGCGUGGAGGAUGACGCAUUUCGGUGUGUAAACUCCUUUUAUAUGUCAAGAAAAUGACGGUAGCAUAUGAAUAAGCGCCGGCUAACUCCGUGCCAGCAGCCGCGGUAAUACGGAGGGCGCAAGCGUUACUCGGAAUCACUGGGCGUAAAGGACGCGUAGGCGGGUUGAAAAGUCAGGUGUGAAAGCCUACAGCUUAACUGUAGAACUGCACUUGAAACUCUCAAUCUAGAGUAUGGGAGGGGCAGACGGAAUUAGUGGUGUAGGGGUAAAAUCCGUAGAUAUCACUAGGAAUACCUAAAGCGAAGGCGAUCUGCUGGAACAUUACUGACGCUAAGGCGUGAAAGCGUGGGGAGCAAACAGGAUUAGAUACCCGAGUAGUC
rnacentral:rRNA from 1 species